ensembl:lncRNA
UUGCUUUGUUCAUGAGGUCACGUGUUUUAAUCGCUCGAACGGUUCACGCGCACUUCACAUCACAUCACUUCAGAGCUGAUGCGAGAAUGAACUGAACUCGAGUCACACUGGAUCUGAAUUAACAAUCAGUGAAAUUACAAACCAUAAACUACAAAUCUGAUCAUAGAAGUGGAUGUACUGCAAGAAUACUACAUUUUGGAUCAUAUUUCUGCGUGUAAAACUGCCUUCACGCACAGGUUGAUGUAGUUUUUGAGCGUGGAUCCCUGACAGAAGAACCGGAGUCAGAUGAAAUAUAAUAUGCACGGUUUUUAUUUGAUAAAUGUUUUCAGAAAGCACCUUUAGCUCUGUGAUCAUCAGUACUGAUGGCUGGAUAUACAGAGCUGAGCUCAGGCUCCGUGAGCUGAGGAGCGAGUAAGAUGAAGGUCUGGGGUGCGAUGCUGGCGUGUGCACUGACUCUGAGCUGCGUGUCCUCCGUCCCGAACCCAACCGGACAGUGUUCUCAAAGACCACAGGACCUACAGAGAAAACCAUACAAACAUCUGGAGCCAAGAAUUCACUCAGGAACAUCUCUUGCCUCUGUCAUCCAGACAGCUUCCCCACACCACACUCAGCCUUCAC